rnacentral:rRNA from 1 species
CCUACGGGAGGCAGCAGUGAGGAAUAUUGGUCAAUGGACGAGAGGCUGAACCAGCCAAGUAGCGUGAAGGAAGACUGCCCUAUGGGUUGUAAACCUCUUUUAUAUGGGAAUAAAAUGUUCCACGUGUGGGAUUUGGUAUGUACCAGAAGAAUAAGGAUCGGCUAACUCCGUGCCAGCAGCCGCGGUAAUACGGAGGAUGCGAGCGUUAUCCGGAUUUAUUGGGUUUAAAGGGGGCGUAGGUGGAUUGUUAAGUCAGUUGUGAAAGUUUGCGGCUCAACCCUAAAACUGCAGUUGAAACUGGCAGUCUUGAGUACAGUAGAGGUGGGCGGAAGUCGUGGUGUAGCGGUGAAAUGCUUAGAUAUCACGAAGAACUCCGAUUGCGAAGGCAGUUCACUGGACUGCAACUGACACUGAGGCUCGAAAGUGUGGGUAUCAAACAGGAUUAGAUACCCCAGUAGUC